UACGUAGGGCGCAAGCGUUUAUCCGGAAUUAUUGGGCGUAAAGAGCUCGUAGGCGGUUUGUCGCGUCUGCCGUGAAAGUCCGGGGCUCAACUCCGGAUCUGCGGUGGGUACGGGCAGACUAGAGUGAUGUAGGGGAGACUGGAAUUCCUGGUGUAGCGGUGAAAUGCGCAGAUAUCAGGAGGAACACCGAUGGCGAAGGCAGGUCUCUGGGCAUUAACUGACGCUGAGGAGCGAAAAGCAUGGGGAGCGAACAGG
rnacentral:rRNA from 1 species